ACGAACGCUGGCGGCGUGCUUAACACAUGCAAGUCGAGCGGAAAGGCCCUUCGGGGUACUCGAGCGGCGAACGGGUGAGUAACACGUGAGCAACCUGCCUUUGACUUUGGGAUAACCCUCGGAAACGGGGGCUAAUACCGGAUAUUACCUGGGGGGGCAUUCUUCUGGGUGGAAAGCUUUUGCGGUCAAAGAUGGGCUCGCGGCCUAUCAGCUUGUUGGUGGGGUGAUGGCCUACCAAGGCGGCGACGGGUAGCCG
rnacentral:rRNA from 1 species